rnacentral:misc_RNA from 1 species
AAGUCGUAACAAGGUUUCCGUAGGUGAACCUGCGGAAGGAUCAUUAACACGAAUUUUAUCCAAUAUCAAAACCAACCGUGAACUUUUCCCCUCCCUGUAAGUUGAAAGCUUCAUCGCGAUUAACUUACAGGCUAACCCCCUUUUUUAAUUUUAACCCCUAUUAACUCUUUGUUUUACCUAUUCUUAUAGGCCAAAACAACUAACUAAAAAAUUGACUAAGACCCAACAAUUUAUUUGUUGUCCUCUUAUUUAUAUUUUUUCUAUUACGAAAUAAUAUUUACUAAAGAACAACUCUUAACAAUGGAUAUCUUGGUUCUC